rnacentral:lncRNA from 1 species
CAAACAUCGACUGAAAGCAGAUAUUUUCAAUAUUUUCAAAGUACUUUUAAUUUUAAAUAUGAAAUUGUUAUUCACUAAUUAACUAAUUUACAAGGCACUAAAGACAUUCCUUUGCUAAGUUUUGAAGGAAAUGAAAUGCCUCUAGUGUUUUGUUUUUUUCUUCUAAAACAUAUUGAGAUAAAAACGAUUGUUAUCUUCAUUAA